rnacentral:rRNA from 1 species
AUGAGCAGCCAUAUCACCCUGUAGCCCAAGACUGGUUGCCCACUGAAGCUAAGCAGGGCUGAGCCUGGUCAGUACCUGGAUGGGAGAUCUCCUGGGAAAACUAGGUUGCUGCUGGAA